rnacentral:rRNA from 1 species
GACGAACGCUGGCGGCGCGCCUAACACAUGCAAGUCGAACGAGCGAGAGAGAGCUUGCUUUCUCGAGCGAGUGGCGAACGGGUGAGUAACGCGUGAGGAACCUGCCUCAAAGAGGGGGACAACAGUUGGAAACGACUGCUAAUACCGCAUAAGCCCACGGUGCCGCAUGGCACAGAGGGAAAAGGAGUAAUCCGCUUUGAGAUGGCCUCGCGUCCGAUUAGCUAGUUGGUGAGGUAACGGCCCACCAAGGCGACGAUCGGUAGCCGGACUGAGAGGUUGAACGGCCACAUUGGGACUGAGACACGGCCCAGACUCCUACGGGAGGCAGCAGUGGGGAAUAUUGCACAAUGGGGGAAACCCUGAUGCAGCGACGCCGCGUGGAGGAAGAAGGUCUUCGGAUUGUAAACUCC